CCUUUCUUGGGCCACUUCUGCGGCAUAUGGAGGUUCCCAGGCUAGGGGUCGAAUUGGAGCUGUAGCCGCUGGCCUACACCAGAGCCACAGCAACGCAGGAUCCGAGCUGUGUCUGCAACCUGCACCACAGCUCAGGGCAACGCCGGAUCCUUAACCUACUGAGCAAGGCCAGGGAUCGAACUCACGACCUCAUGGUUCUUAGUUGGAUUCGUUAAUCACUGAGCCACGACGGGAAUUCCUAAUUUGCUCUUUCUUUAUUAAAGUCAGCCCUGAGUGAUUCUUGUCUGUUCCAAAAAUUCCUAUCUAUUUUAUUGUUUGUUUGGUGGCCAUGCCUGUGGCAUAUGGAAGUUCCUGGGCCAGGGAUCGAAUGCCCACCAUCCAUAGUGGUGACACAAGCCACUGCAGUGACAACACCAGAUCCUUAACCCACAAGGGAACUCCACAACCAUUCUAAAGCAGACUUUGCCCUUUCCCCAAAUACCCAGACAACCUAUGUGUACAGAGCAGCACUCUCUCCACCUAGGCCACAGCCGAUGAGACCAACCUUAGUUGGACUAAUCCAAUUCUUUUUCCUGAGCUGAAAGACAGAGUAAGGCAGAUGGAUGACAACGGCCCCUAGAGCAGAAAGGUCAUGGUCAGCUCCAAAGCACGUGCCACGAGGAGCCAAAGACAUGGAGGAACAAAAACCAAGAGCCUCGCAGAGGAAGCUGUUCGGCACGAAGAAUUCAGAAACUAGAAACCGCAAAGUCUCAGAAAGAGAUGGAAAAAGACUGCCUGAAGACUGUCCAGAUUCUAUGGCCAGACUUUCUACACCUGGGGUACCUGACAUUUCCCUGGAUUCUGCCAAUAAAACUCCUUUAAUUUAACCUAGCCUGCAUUCCUAUUCAUUGCAACAAAGGGCCUUAGACAAAGGCUGACCCCCAGCUUUGAAGAAGGAUGUCUGAAUGGCGGGCUGACUAGAAAGAAGCAUAAUAGGCAUACGAUGGCAUUGAGCAGGCCCUUAAUUAACACCGGCUGAAAUAAUAAUGAGCGAAACCCACUUAGAUCAGUCUGGUUUGUUCAAAACAGUUCAGUUAGGUGGUGACUUUAAAGGUGUCAUCUUGUAUGUGGCAGUGAUGUGUAGACAGCCUCUUUAUACUGGAUAACUCGUGUCUAUAGCAUUAUUUUUGUUAAUGCCCACACGAACCCUGAAAGUCACCUCCAUUUUACAGAGGCAACUGAAGUUCAGAUGGAUUGAAAAACGUGUCUCCCACGUGCCUCUUUUCCUCCCCUCCCCCACACAAAAAGAAAGAAAUCACAUCAGACCUGGGUCUCAAGACAGGGUCCCAGGACUUCAAAGUCAGUUCUCUGCCUUCUACACAAUAGCUCCUUUGACAAGGAUGAUGACUUCAGCUGACAAUUACACAGUGCCAAGGCCCUGCUCUAAGGGCUUGACACAUACUAGCUCAUUUAAGCCACACGGAACCCAGUACACUACCCCGUUUUACAGACAAGAAAAUGGAGGCACAGAAAAAUUAAGUACCAU
rnacentral:lncRNA from 1 species